ACGCUCACUCAGCCGCCGAGCUCCUCAGCGUCUCGGGCCCGCGACCGCUGCCGCGAGGAGCGUGGGGCACCGGGACUUGGGGUCUCGCGGUUCCCCGGAAUGCAAGAGACACGCCUAUCUCUGGGCCGCGCGGUCGCGGCUCUCCAAGCUGGGCCGCCCCAGCCCCAGCCUGCCCGCCCGCUCCUCGGGAACCAGCCCCUCAGGCGCGGGACCCCGCGCUGGGUCUACUCUUCGCUUUCGCGUGGCGGCCGCCAGGUGGCGCCGAAGGCAGCCGCUCCAGCCUCGGAAACAGGGAUGGUCCAUCAAGGCCUUGAGGGUGAUGGGGGCUUGCCCCCCUGUCUCUCCAAAACGGGCUGUGCCACGCAGGCACCUCAUCAGACUUCUCUGGUCGUGAGGUCCUAGGCCCAGACCACAGACAUAAGGGAGGUCAGGAACAGCUUAUACCCUGAGGUGGUCAUAAACCAGUGAUAGCUUAGAAGGUGAAAGGGCUGUUCUAGAAGCUGGCCCAGCAGAGAUCUCCUCUGCUGGCUUCUGCUCGCUUUGCAGUGGCAUCAGUGGGGCAAUAACUGUUGGGGGAUCCAUGGCAGCAGCGGACCACUCCAGAGAGCCAGGAUUAAGGGUGCAGGUGUCAGGAGAUCCACAGCGUCCUGGAGCAAGCCCUGGACGGGGUUCUCACUCAGAGUUCUGCCGACUGGUGGGGAGACCUCUGGAGGGACAACACUGCUCGUCUUGGCUUCAGUUUCCCCACGUCCAAAAUGGUGGAUUGGACUUGAAGGUAUGUCAGAAUCCCGGGGCCACUUACAGGCGCUGAUCCACCUGGUGUUGGGUGGAGUCCUUAAAUCUGCAUUUUUAGCAGGUCAUCAGGGCAGUCGCAGCACGAGGGUGGUCUGACAACCACAAGAGGAAAAAUGUGGGAUGAGGUGCCCCCAUAGUGGCACCAAACUGACCUCCUCGGGGUCAGCAGGCUGAGUAGGUCAGCAGGAAGUGCUCCGGGUAGUCAGCGGAUUCCAGACCUGACCCAGAC
rnacentral:lncRNA from 9 species